GCUUGCGGCGGGCUACACAUGCAGUCGAGCGGAUGAAGGGAGCUUGCUCCUGGAUUCAGCGGCGGACGGGUGAGUAAUGCCUAGGAAUCUGCCUGGUAGUGGGGGAUAACGUUCCGAAAGGAACGCUAAUACCGCGUACGUCCUACGGGAGAAAGCAGGGGACCUUCGGGCCUUGCGCUAUCAGAUGAGCCUAGGUCGGAUUAGCUAGUUGGUGAGGUAAUGGCUCACCAAGGCGACGAUCCGUAACUGGUCUGAGAGGAUGAUCAGUCACACUGGAACUGAGACACGGUCCAGACUCCUACGGGAGGCAGCAGUGGGGAAUAUUGGACAAUGGGCGAAAGCCUGAUCCAGCCAUGCCGCGUGUGUGAAGAAGGUCUUCGGAUUGUAAAGCACUUUAAGUUGGGAGGAAGGGCUGUAGGCUAAUAUCCUGCGGUUUUGACGUUACCAACAGAAUAAGCACCGGCUAACUUCGUGCCAGCAGCCGCGGUAAUACGAAGGGUGCAAGCGUUAAUCGGAAUUACUGGGCGUAAAGCGCGCGUAGGUGGUUCGUUAAGUUGGAUGUGAAAGCCCCGGGCUCAACCUGGGAACUGCAUCCAAAACUGGCGAGCUAGAGUACGGUAGAGGGUAGUGGAAUUUCCU
rnacentral:rRNA from 1 species